UCUCCGUUGGUGAACCAGCGGAGGGAUCAUUACAGAGUUAUCUAACUCCCAAACCCAUGUGAACUUACCAUUUGUUGCCUCGGCAGAGCCUACCCGGUAACUGUUCGGAGAAGCUACCCUGUAGCUACCCUGUAACGGCCUACCCUGUAACGCACUGCCGGUGGACUUUUAAACUCUUGAUAUAUUAUAGUAAUCUGAGCUUCUUAUUUUAAUAAGUCAAAAAUAUCAACAACGGAUCUCUUGGUUCUGGCUUCGAUGAAGAACGCAGC
rnacentral:misc_RNA from 1 species